UACGUAGGUGGCAAGCGUUGUCCGGAAUUAUUGGGCGUAAAGCGCGCGCAGGUGGUUUCUUAAGUCUGAUGUGAAAGCCCACGGCUCAACCGUGGAGGGUCAUUGGAAACUGGGGAACUUGAGUGCAGAAGAGGAAAGUGGAAUUCCAAGUGUAGCGGUGAAAUGCGUAGAGAUUUGGAGGAACACCAGUGGCGAAGGCGAGCUUUCUG
rnacentral:rRNA from 1 species